UAGCAAUGGUUAAGAUGUAUCUUGCACUUAGGCGAUGGAGAACAAAGGAUUCUGAUGAUCAAUAGUUGAUGACUUCGAUGAAUGUAAGCCUUUCCUUGUUCUCAUCUUCGUUCAGCUUUCAAUGAAUGUAACCCUUUCUGUUGAUGAGCAGCCAAGAGAUUCUCUAAGCAUCAUUCUGAUGAGAAAGAGAGAGGUCAGGGGAUGGGAUUCUGAUGAGAGACAGACGGAGAGCAUUGGGGGAGGGAAGAGAGGGCUAUGAUGAUAAAGAUGUAGUGCUGUAUUGUGAGGGAGAGAAUGCUUCGACUGGUGUGUGUGUGUGAGAGAGAGAGAGAGAGAGAGAAACAGGAUGCUUCGACUGGUGAGAGAUAGAGAGGGAGGAGGUUUCCAUCGGCAAGAGAUAGAGAGAGAUGGGGGAUGGUUGUUUUUAGUUGGAGAGAGAGAGGGUAGAGGAGGAUUGUACUUGAUUGAGAGAGAAAGAGAGAGGAUGCUUCAGUCAGUGAUAUAGAGAGGGAGGAGUUAUCCAUUAGUGAG
rnacentral:lncRNA from 1 species